AGCGAACGCUGGCGGCAGGCCUAACACAUGCAAGUCGAACGAAGUCUUCGGACUUAGUGGCGGACGGGUGAGUAACACGUGGGAACGUGCCUUUAGGUUCGGAAUAACUCAGGGAAACUUGUGCUAAUACCGAAUGUGCCCUUCGGGGGAAAGAUUUAUCGCCUUUAGAGCGGCCCGCGUCUGAUUAGCUAGUUGGUGAGGUAAAGGCUCACCAAGGCUACGAUCAGUAGCUGGUCUGAGAGGAUGACCAGCCACAUUGGGACUGAGACACGGCCCAAACUCCUACGGGAGGCAGCAGUGGGGAAUCUUGCGCAGUGUGCGAAAGCCUGACGCAGCCAUGCCGCGUGGAUGAUGAAGGUCUUAGGAUUGUAAAAUCCUUUCACCGGUGAAGAUAAUGACUGUAGCCGGAGAAGAAGCCCCGGCUAACUUCGUGCCAGCCGCCGCCGUAAUAC
rnacentral:rRNA from 1 species